rnacentral:rRNA from 1 species
UACAGAGGGUGCGAGCGUUGUCCGGAAUCACUGGGCGUAAAGGGCGCGUAGGCGGCUUGAUAAGCGUGCGGUGAAAGCCCGGGGCUCAACCCCGGGUCGGCCGUGCGAACUGUCGAGCUGGAGCACUGUAGAGGCAGGUGGAAUUCCGGGUGUAGCGGUGGAAUGCGUAGAGAUCCGGAAGAACACCGGCGGCGAAGGCGGCCUGCUGGGCAGUGGCUGACGCUGAGGCGCGACAGCGUGGGGAGCAAACAGG